GUUAUAAAAUUUAAAAGGAAGAACACUUUCAAAUUUUAUUUUCUUAAAUACUGACAAGCCUAGCUACAACACUUCCGAAACUUUUUCGAUCUAAUAUGUCACAAAUUUGUGUAUUUGUGUGACUAUAAACCUUAUAUAAGUAGAAAAGAGGAGUUCAACUUAAUAUAUAUCAUAAGAGUAUUUUUAUAUUGUACGUGUCAAAAAUAUUGGAAUCAUAUAUUAGGAUCCCUAUAAUACUACUAUUAAUAAGAAAAUAUAUUAUGAAUUUAACAAUCUUACCUCAAACGUGAUAAUUAUCCAAAAUCACAUAAGGAAGAAAAUUACUCCACCCCAUGCCAAUGUGAGACUCAAAUACACACACACACA